GUGGACGAACCUCUGGUGUUCCGGUUGUCACGCCAGUGGCAUUGCCGGGUAGCUACGUUCGGAAAGGAUAACCGCUGAAAGCAUCUAAGCGGGAAGCCCCCCUCAAGAUUAAUUCUCACUGGGACUUUAAGUCCCCUAAAGAGCCGUUGAAGACUACAACGUUGAUAGGCUAGGUGUGUAAGCGCUGUGAGGCGUUGAGCUAACUAGUACUAAUUGCUCGUGAGGCUUGAUCAU
rnacentral:rRNA from 1 species